rnacentral:lncRNA from 1 species
AUUUUAGUCAUUUUUCCUCCUUUUGCCUUGUUCUCUUUCCUUUGGAUGGUUUUUACCUACAAAAGCAAAUAUUAUUUAACUAUGAGUAGAAUUUCAUUCUUUUCAUCAAUAAUUAUAUCAAAUUAAGUGUCCAAUAAGUGUGCAAAAACACACGUAUCACACCCCCAAACUUAAACUCUUGCUCGUCCCGAGCAAGAUUAUCUACCACACAAUCAAGCAAAAGUGAUCAUGGUCAACACACUAAAUAGCUUGCCAAAAAUAUCAAUGAGUGUAAAAUUGUAUAAUCAAUUCACAAAUAUGCUCCAAAUGAUGUUAACAAAAAUAAUUUGAGUUUAUCCAAUGUUCAAUCGGUGUGUAUGUGUAUAGUCACUUUCAAUUAUCAUCUAAAUUAGGAAAAAUUUGUCAAGACGGAAAAAUCUUCAAAUUGGCUCCAACCCGACCCUUUGUGGUCAAAUAUUUCCUUUCCCACUCGUGAAAUUUACACUCCUUAAAUAGAUAUUCAUUUCUUUCCCCGAGGUGUAAAUCUAAGGCUGCUCUCAAUUCACUCAUUUCUUUUCCCACUCUAGUUCGGUUGGGUCUAACCAGUAAUAUUAAUCUCUAGUCAUGUGAUGAUUCUCUACUAAUGAAUGCUUUCACAUUCAAGUUUAUACUAAGCAAUUCAAAC